rnacentral:rRNA from 1 species
GACGAACGCUGGCGGCGUGCCUAAUACAUGCAAGUAGAACGCUGAAGGAGGAGCUUGCUUCUCUGGAUGAGUUGCGAGCGGGUGAGUAACGCGUAGGUAACCUGCCUGGUAGCGGGGGAUAACUAUUGGAAACGAUAGCUAAUACCGCAUAAGAGUAGAUGUUGCAUGACAUUUGCUUAAAAGGUGCAAUUGCAUCACUACCAGAUGGACCUGCGUUGUAUUAGCUAGUUGGUGAGGUAACGGCUCACCAAGGCGACGAUACAUAGCCGACCUGAGAGGGUGAUCGGCCACACUGGGACUGAGACACGGCCCAGACUCCUACGGGAGGCAGCAGUAGGGAAUCUUCGGCAAUGGACGGAAGUCUGACCGAGCAACGCCGCGUGAGUGAAGAAGGUUUUCGGAUCGUAAAGCUCUGUUGUAAGAGAAGAACGAGUGUGAGAGUGGAAAGUUCACACUGUGACGGUAUCUUACCAGAAAGGGACGGCUAACUACGUG